CCUUGNCGGUACCCAACCAGCACCCCACGGCUAAGUACGUGCCAGCAGCCGCGGUAAUACGUAGGUGGCAAGCGUUGUCCGGAAUUAUUGGGCGUAAAGCGCGCGCAGGCGGUACCUUAAGUCUGAUGUGAAAGCCCACGGCUCAACCGUGGAGGGUCAUUGGAAACUGGGGAACUUGAGUACAGCCGAGGAGAGCGGAAUUCCACGUGUAG
rnacentral:rRNA from 1 species